rnacentral:rRNA from 1 species
CCCGUUGUACACACCGCCCGUCACACCAUGGGAGUGGGUUGCAAAAGAAGUAGGUAGCUUAACCUUCGGGAGGGCGCUUACCACUUUGUGAUUCAUGACUGGGGGUG